AAAACAAAUAAAUUUUCUGUCCAAUUCCUGGAAUAAAACAUGAGAAAUGACAGUUCACAGUAUCCGUUAAAACAAAUAAAUUUACAGGAAUACUUAAAAUUCAUACAAUGUGAGAUUUUUUCCAGAAACAAGUCAUACCCACUCAUUCCUAAGUUAACCAACAGGACACAGCCCUGGUGAUGGCUUUCUGAGGAUGACACGAUGGAGGCUUCUCCAAUAGCUCUAAAACUGCGGUGUGGAAAACAUUCGGCAGCCUCAAAGAGCGGUCUUGUUGACCCCAACUAUAUCAUUUUUCAUCAAAAUCAUUCUUGGUAAGUCUUAUGCCCAAGGAGUUAUUUUCCUUAGCAACAUCAUGGUAUGGAGGGAUUUGCUAUAGGAUAGGUCCUGAAUAUUCUUGCUUUUUUUCUGACUUAACUUUGAAAAGAAGUCCUAGACUAAAUUCAACCCUGCUCUUUCAAAUAGCUUCCUCAAAAAUAUAAAAAAAAUCUUUUAAGUCUGCUUUUCUCUGCACAUGGCCCUCUACACAACAUCCAUAGAUACAGUAGAGACAUAGAUGAAAGAUGGGUGUAACCGAGAACAGGUUUGUAUACCAAUUUCCAUAAUUAUCAAUGUAUCAGAUUUUAUAGAUUGAUAAGGAAGCGUGGGCCCCAAGGUAGGCAUUAUCUUUGGCCUGUUGAUUGAUCAGUGAGGUGAAGUGGAUAUAAGAAAAAUGCUGUGUGUGUGGAGAGCAUUAAGAAAGGUCAUAUAUUUCAAAAAAGAAUAUUGUUUACAAGGAGUGUUAAUAGGUUUCAGGGGAAAUGUUAAUUUUUUUUCCUGGAUGAAAUAGCUACUGCAAGUUUUUAAUGGUUAAUCAUUCAUUCUUGAAUUUUUAUAUUAAGCAUUUCAUAUUACUUUAUUGACUUAACUUUUAUGCUCUUCUUCAUUUUGACAGUAAAGAAUGACCAGGCAACACUCUUUGAAAAUUGGAGGCCAUUUGCAGCUGCUCUCUGUUGAGGAAAGUGAAUAAUAGGGUGCCCUCAAGGAAUUGCAAAGGUAUCACUCAACAGAAACUUUCGUGUCUGAAGAAAACUAGAUCAUUUUAUCAUGGUAGGCAUGCUGAUAUGUUUGCUUUAAUAAAAUGCCAUAUUUCUGCCUUUAAUCUCUUGUCAACCCGCUAUUAAAAAGCCCCAAAGUGCAUGUGUGCAGCGCAUGUAAACACUUGUGGUUUUGAGGUUACCACAGAACAUACUAAUAAAGCAUGUAAUUUGUGUUUUGUGCACAGACUGUAAUAAUUUAUUGAGUGGUACAGAGAAGCUAGAAAAGGAUUUUCUCUAACUUUUGCCAGCAAGUCAAUUUAUUUUUAGUGCUCUAUGCAGAAGUACAUGUAUACACAUGUUCUUAUGAUUACAUCAUGUUUAAAAAGCAUUAGGGAGCCUGCAUAACAAAAUGGGACAAAACAUAAAUUCAUUUUGCACAUACGGAAGACAUUCUAUCAAGCAUGCUAAUGUUCCUCCUAUAAGCUGAUCAGCUGGGAGGUGUGGCAUAUAUUCUUCCACAAAGGGUGUGUGUUUGUGUGUGUGUGUGUGUGCAUGUUUGUGUGCGUGUUGAGCACUGACAAUACAUUAGCAGAGUAUAGAUCAAGUAAGUUCAAGUAAAUUAAGACGAAUAAUAAUAGCAAGAACUUUUAUAAACUUUACCAACUUUAUCCCCAGUCCCCCUGGGGGAGGAGGGCAGAGAACAAUGUUGUUCCUUCUUUUAUAUGGAAUAACAAAACGUAUAAUGGUUGGGUCACUUCUAGAGGGUCCUAGAAGAGCUCAUUGCCAGACUACAGCUUCCACCAUGAUUGUUUGGGUAGCCAAUUUAUCUGUUUAUGUAAGAUCCUUACAGGUAAGAACCAUCAGGUUGUAUACCACUUAGCUUUUUGCUUUCACUUCUUCCCUUGUGAGGUUCCUUGCACACAACAAAUCAUCCACACAGAUGCAUAAUUUGAAAGGAAAGGUCUUGAGCUUAUGGAAGAAAUACAUACCAGUUUCUGGAAAAUUCUGUGAAAUUCUGUAGUUGGAAAAUAAUUCUGUGAAAUUCUAUGCUUUAUUUACUCAAACAAAAAACACAUUCAGUUUAGAAAUAACGUCUGUGCCCAGAAGAAAUAGGUGUUAGAUACUCAAAACGUGUUUAUUCCAAAAAGAUGCAAGAUUUCUCUCCUGGAAAGCAAUUCACCACUCUCUAUGCUUCUUUUUCUUUCUGAGAAGUCUUAUACACAUAACAGUUUUCAAUGCACAGAUGGAUCUUCUGUGGUUCACAACCUUUUACAUUUGAGGGCUAAUUAAAAUGAAUCCUUUGUGCCACCUCUAAGAUACAACUCACUCCUUCAUGUUGUUCAUUGACUAAGAUCUAAUAAACCAGUUCCAAUUCAUAACUAGGGAUUAUUGAACUUCUUGUGGCCAUUGGCUAUCAUAGAGGCAUUGUGAAAAUCUCUAAGGAGACAAGUGCACAGCAGCCUGGCCCGGAGGGUCCUCUUAUUUGAAGUAGAACUCAAGUUGCACCCAAUUAUGUAAGGCUGAUCCAACCCAGAAAAGAGUUUUCUGCAAGAGAUUAAGCCAAUUCUCCAGAACUCUAAGGAGGAAAUCAAGAUCCUUGUGGCUGUUUGAUCACUUCUGUGAUUUGAAUGUCUCCACGGUUUA
rnacentral:lncRNA from 1 species